rfam:Schizopora paradoxa strain KTC8140 unplaced genomic scaffold SCHPAscaffold_00025, whole genome shotgun sequence.
GGAUACAUGGCGCAAUGGUAGCGCGUUAGGCUUCGAUUGCCUCUCCCAACCUAAAGGCUGCAGGUUCGAGUCCUGCUGUGUUCA